UACGAAGGGGGCUAGCGUUGCUCGGAAUUACUGGGCGUAAAGGGAGCGUAGGCGGAUAGUUAAGUCAGAGGUGAAAGCCCAGGGCUCAACCUUGGAAUUGCCUUUGAUACUGGCUAUCUUGAGUAUGGGAGAGGUAAGCGGAACUCCGAGUGUAGAGGUGAAAUUCGUAGAUAGUUCGGAAGAACACCAGUGGCGAAGGCGGCUUACUGGCCCAUUACUGACGCUGAGGCUCGAAAGCGUGGGGGAGCAAACAGG
rnacentral:rRNA from 1 species